AGUGUAUGAUGACACUCAGUAAUGCCACACACUCCUGUGUGCAAUGGAAAAGACAAUCUUGAUGAGUUGAGUGUACA
ensembl:snoRNA SNORD39 Small nucleolar RNA SNORD55/SNORD39